UUUCCGUAGGUGAACCUGCGGAAGGAUCAUUAAAGAGUAAGGGUCUUCGGGCCCAAUCCCCAACCCUUUGUUUAACUACAAUGUUGCUUUGUCGGGCCCGUCUCACGACCGCCGGAAGUUUGGCUUCGACCAAACUUCUGCCCCGUGCCCGUCAGUGGCCCCUUCAAAUUCUGGAUCAAGUUUAAUUUUUUAGUUAAAAACUUAAUAGUUAAAACUUUCAACAACGGAUCCCUUGGUUCUG
rnacentral:misc_RNA from 1 species